AAAUUUAACAUGAACAUUUAUUUGUCAUUUUAAUUUUAAUUUAAUGCACAAUACAGGUUUUUCUUGCAUAUUGUAUAAAUAUAUAUGCACAUACUUUCCAAGAAAUAGCAUAGGCCUGCAAAAAAAGUUAGUGAGCAAUAAGAAAUAAUAAUUAAAAUACAAUAAGAAUAGACUACAAAGGAACAUAUACAAUGCUAAAUUGCAUAAUUCAGACAGAAAGAUAUUUUAAUUUUUGAAAUCCUCAAAAUAAAGUAUCAAUUUUUAAUAACAGAAAUGCUAUGGUUAUUUGUUUUCUGUAUCUUACUUUGAAAAUUAGUCAGAAAAUUCCUCUAAUAUCCAGUCAGCUUGCAUCAUAGGAUACUGCAGUAUUAAUUUAAUAAUCUAGAUCCAUCCAUUUAUUUCGAUAAAGGAAUCAUUCUGUGCAUGGCACUUUGCUAGGCAUUAAAGCUGGUAUUAUAACUAAGAUAACAUCCUUGUCCACAUUCUAGUAACAAAGAGAUGAAUUUGAAAAUAUUUUCAAAACCGCAGGCAAAAUAUGUACUCCUUGAAGAAAUUCAACAUUUAGUUUCAAAUUAGUUGUGCAGAGAAACAGAAACUACAAUUAAUAGAGACAGUAUAAAUGAAAAUUGAGUGGUAAAUGAUUCAGUAGUCAAACAAGUUUGCUUAAAAGAGUAGUAGUAGGAAAAAAUGAAGUAGGAACAUAUUGAACUGAAUAUACUUUUCAAAUAAUCAACAUAACGUAUUCCUGAAUUAAAUAAAUCUAUAUUAUGUUUAGUUAAAAAUAAAAAUAUGUAUUUGCAUGAAAAUGCUAGUCCUUUCAGUUUGUUAAUUUUUUCCAUAUUUUAUUUGCCAUGUUCAGAACUACUGUAUAUGCAAAAAUCAUAGAAAUAAAUAUUUCAAGAUCAAAUCACAAUCACUUUAAGUACAUUCUUCUGUAAGAAGGCAAAGAAGAAGUGCAUUCUGUCUUACAUUUUAAAACUUUUACUGGCAUUUAUUUCAUAUCAUAAUGAUUUUUUGAAAAAUGAAAUAUGUACAGCCAUGAUUUAGGUCACGUAAAAACAGCUGACUGGAUCAUCUUAGGUGUCAAGCAAAUCUACCCUUUCUCUUCAUUUCCCUGUCAUAGUAAUUAUAGUUGAUAGACUAUGUGACAGUAAGAUCAUUUGUUCAAUGGUCUUUAAAGUACCUACAGAACAAACAAAUCAGCUACAUUUUUUCACCUAAAAAUCAUAAAAAUACAGCUCAAGAUACAAUUUGUAUUUAAAAAAUAACUCUACGGAUUAACCGCUAAAUCCAACUCCUAAAGUAUUCUUGCAAAAGUUAGCUAGGUGUGGCCAUUGCCGAGCAAUGUCUUUUAUCUGUCUUCUUAGCAACAUGUCAUUAUGUAUAAAUUUUAUCCCAAUAAUCUUACUUUUAAUAUUUGCCCAAACAUACCAAUGAGAUGAGAAAGAGAUAUUUGUUGGAGAAUAUAAGUAGUAAAUAUUUUCAAAAAUUUCUCUGCAACAGGGAGUUAUUCAUUCUAGGAAAUAUUAAUCAAUCAGUAGUUUAAAAUAUUUGGAGGGAAGUGCUUUUAAAUAAGAGGCUUCAAAUCAAAUGUAAAUUUUAGCAAAUACAUGGGAAUAUCCUACUGUCCAUCUUCUACAUAGGAAUUUAUAUACCUGAAUCAUAUCUAAGUAGUUUGAGAUCUCAUUUUUAUCAUUAUUACAAAGAAGGGGCCUUAUGUUUAUUGAUGCAAUCACUGCAGCUACUGAAGCUUGCCCUAUCACAAAGACAAAGCAAAGUAUAUAUGGAUGUCAGUUUGGCUGAAUCUAACAUGUCACUGACUACAAAUGCACAAAGGUCCCUGUUCAUGAAAGAUUUUACUGUGACACAUGAGUUUAUCAAGACUUUUAUUAAAGUAUGUUCUUGGGGUAAAUAUCCUUGACGAAUUAAGCAAAUAGAUACCAAGUACAGGUUGUUUUUAUACAUUUAUAGAGCAAAUUCCUAAUAGCAACCAUUCUCCCCUUUGUUAGGGAUCUUUCCUUAGAAGUGAUUUUUUUUUUUCCUGAAAUAGAAUCAAAAGGAAAAAUCUGGAGAAAAAAAAAAAAAAGUCCAUCUAGAUAAAAUGGGGACAGAGGAAGAUGGUAUCUCUAAGAUAAAUAGAAACUAGUUUUACAGUUGCCAGAUACCUGUUGUAGGUUUUGAGUUAACUACAUGAAGUGACCAUUUAAUACAGCAAGAAUUUUCUCGAUAGAUGUUAUCCUAAUAAUUUCAUUAACUCAUCCUCAGAUUCUUGGAUCAUGAAAUAUUGUUGGAGUGUUCCCCUCAAAGUUAUAAUUUCUUGCAUACAACUUAAUAAUUUAACAAACUUGCAUUGUGUGUUCUGUGCUCUGGAAUUAAAUUUUUAGGGAACAAGCAAAUGAUGCUUCCAAAAUAAAAUAUGAACAUAAAGAAAGGAAGAAUUAAUGGAAUAUUGACACACAGACUCUAUAAACACAUUAUUGGUAUUUUUAAUGACUUAGAUAUUGCUAUAACAACAUAUAUUGUGCAAAAUGAUUCAUCCCACCAGUUAUUAUGUCCAGUUUACUAAGAAUUAUCUACUGUGGGAAUCAUUAAAACUCUUCAAACUAAAUUUACGAACAUGAUUUUGCAAAGUAUGACACAGGAGAAAUAGAUUUCAUUCUGGAAAUAAAGGAUUUAUCAAGCAAGGAUAGUAUAAGUGUUUCCAGGUAAAUAUGCAUUCAAUCUACAAAGUUUACCAAAUAGGAUGGCUUAAGCAGCACAAUGGGGAAAAAAAAGCAGGUCAAAUAGGAUGGCUUAAGCAGCACAAUGGGAAAAAAAAGCAGGUCAGGAGUCCAAAAGACACGGUUCAACUUUCUAUCCUGCAUUUACUCAAAAGAUAGAUAUAUAUUUAGGCAAAGCCCUUAACCUGUUAUAGUCUUAUUCUGUAAAAAGGUGCAUAUCUAACAAACCUAAUUUCGAGGGUUGAGAAGAUGGUAUGAAUUAAAUAUAUUUUGAUACAUAAAUAUAUCAAAAAAUAGAAUACAAAUCAAAAUAUAAUUAUAUCUAAUGCUUAGAAAAUAAACAUUUAUUUAAAGAUUUAUUUGAGAGAGAGAGAGAGCAGAAGGAGGAGCAGAGGAAGAGGGAGAGAGAAUCUCAAGUAUUGACUCCAUGCUGAGCAUGGAGCCCAACUCGGGGCUCGAUCUCACAACCCUGAGAUCAUGACCUAAGUCAAAACCAAGAAUCAGUUGAACCAACUGAGCCACCCAGCCAUCCCCAAAAUGAACAAGUGUUCAUUGUCCCUUCUUGCUAAAUCCAGAAAUCUUCAUACUUCAGUUACAAAUAGAAAGCAUGUGGUAAAAAAAUAAAGUCCUUUAAAUAGUAUAUCCAAAAUUUGUAGUUGACUCUAAUAAACAAGCUAUAUAAACUAGGUCCAACUUCAAAAUUGUUUUUAGAUGCAUAUGAAAAUAAAAUAACAACAAACCCAGAAUAAAAAGCUUAGAAGAAUAUGUUUCAAAAUUCACCCUGAAGUUCAUAUAAGAAUUCUGUUCUUUUUGCUCAUCUGAGCAGAACUUUUUACCAACUCAUACCUUGAUAGAAUAUUGAAUAUGAGUGUUUUCAUACAGAGCUUCUUUAGAUUAUUUUGCCAUAUUUGAAUUUUAAACAAGCAAACAAAAAAACUUGUUUUGGUAUGCAAAGAAAAAAUGUUUGCUGAAAUGGCAAUGAAUUAAUCACCUAGUGAAAUACUCCUGAAUGUUACACAAUUAACAAGCACAUAUGGAGACUGAAAAACAUGGUGUUCAUGGACACAAGGGAAGCAUAACUAAACCCACCAAAGAAACAAGAAUUCCGUAUUAAAAAUGCCCAGAAUUAGAUGGAAAAUGCUAAAGAAGCUGACCUAGACAUUGUGAAAAACAAUGGGAGGAAAAUAAUUUUUUAAAAUAAUCAUGAGAAAAAAAGGAACUGAGAAGGUAAGGUAGCUCAGGAUUGGGGUGGGAGAAAUAAUUCAGUCUAAAAAAAUUUCCAUACGCUCUACUAGAAACACCAAAAAUUCUGUUUGCAAUAUCACUUUUCCUUUUAAUGCAGGGACCUAAAAUUAUGAUUCUCAAUGCUAGAACAAUGGUUUCAUGAACUGCAUGUAAGCGAAAUAAAGUGAAGGAAAGGCAGUGUGGGAGAAUAAUACAAGCCAGAUCGUAGGAUCUUGUAGGAGUUAGAAAUUAAAUAGUUUACAAACAAUUGAUAGUAAAAUGAGAACUACAAAAAAUGAUGUGAGCUCAGCAAAUUAUUCAUGUUUUAAUUAUCAACAAAGAUAAUUUAUGAUUUUAAUUAUACAAGCAUUAUAAUUACUGAUAAUUGAGCCUCUCAGCUUUUCAGUGCAUGGAGACCAUGCGCAUGGAUGUGUAAAAAUCAAAAGCUAAAAAACAAAGUGAGUUGAAUAAAAGUUAUAAUUUCAAUUUAUAUCUGAAUCAUUUUAAUGCUUCUUGGUAUUGUGAAGCGUUGCGGUAGGGAAUCUACUUGGUAUGAUGUACCGGGGAUGUCACUGUCUCUCAAUGAGAGAGUAUAUGGGCUAUAGAAUGGUGCUGUGCUGUGGGGUGAGCUUUGUUUCUCAAAGUUGUGAGGCACUGUAAGGAAAUCAGAAACACCCAAGAUAGUGCCAAAAACAGAAAGAUUGAUUUUUUCUAGAUUCCUAAAAAUCAUAUUCAUUAAUGUAUUUAUCAUGCAUAAGGAAGACUCAUAUCAACAAAACGUCUUCUAGAUUACAGGCACCUUCCUUCUCCAGGAUACCUCAAGCUAAGGCCACAGGAGUUCCCUUACUUGUGAAGAUGAAAGGUCAUGGCCAAAAGUAUACUCUGUUUUCUCCAGCAAUAGGCCCAUUCCUACAAAUCACAACUCUUCAAGCCCAGAUGCAGCACGUGUGAGUUUUGGGAAAGAUACAAGACUCUAGAAUUACGUCAUCUAAAAUAAUGCUAAAGAGAACACUAUUCCAUGGAUGUCCAAGGUCUUAGAGUAAAAGGACAAAAGUAAUGACACUUGUUCUGUCUAUAGUACAGACAAGACAAUGGCAGUUCUAGGUGUUCAAGAAAACUUAAAAAAUGAAUUAGGAUGUAGGGGCAGUUGUAUUCAAUUACGAAAACAAAUAUAUACUGCAUAGACUAUAUAAAUGAACCAAGUCAUUUAUAUCUUAUAAUCUUUUUAAAUGUCUUUGGUAACAAAUAAAAAUCUUUAAAAUUUUUUUUUUCUUUGGUAGCUGUAUGAUCCUAUAAAUGGGAACCUCUGUAACUCUAAAUACGUUUUCCACAAAGUACUUCUUGAGUCAUAAUAAGUAGCAAGCAAUAUGGGAAUUACUUAUCCAUAAAGAAAAUAACAUUUUUCCUCUAAAUCCAACCUCAGGGAAAAUAUAUUAUUCCUGAGUCAUAUAUAUAUGUCAUUAUUUUUGUGCAAAAAGUCAUAUUAAAACAAUUAUGGCUAUUAUACAAUCAUUACCACUAUUUGGGAUAAUUUACAUUGGCCAGAAAAGCAGGCAACUUGAAAUUAUAUAUUCAGUUUAUAGCAAACAGUCUCUAACGAGCACUAAAUAAAUCAGAAUACAAAUUGCAGUUAAACCUAAUUGGUUUACUAUAUAGGGUUUAAAUUUUUUGUUAUCUAUAUUUUAUCUACCUUUGCUUCUAUAGAUUCUAUUGAAAGCAGCAUGCUAGUGAACACCCUAGGGGCUCUUCCUGCUUUUAGAUAAAUCUGAAUUUUAGUUCUGGUUCUGUCACAUACUACUUUACAACCUUGGGUAAUUAGCUGAACUUUGCAUGUCUGAUUUUUGUUUUGUUUCCUUUCAUCUGUU
rnacentral:lncRNA from 1 species